CCAGAAUAAACUGUAAGCAGAAACAAAAAUAAAGCACCAAACUUACUUUUCAAUAAAUCAUACAAACAAAGAAAUAAUCAUCACUUGCCCAAUUUUCAACCCGACAAAUUAACCCUCUUUUACUUCUUCCCUUUUUUUUCUCGCAAUGCUCGAAAUUUCCUUCGUUGUCCACUUAUGCCAUAUGCAAUUACAACAAUAAAUCAUACUCCCAUCUUAAGAUAUAACCCAGAUUUUUUUUUUACCAUCUUCUGAGAUUUGAGAGUUUUAAACAGGUAGGUGCAUCAAUGGCGAUGAGGUGGAGCAUGUCGUUGCAAGUGGCGAUAUUGGUGUGGGAAAGUUUAUGUAGCUGCCUUUCUGUGAUGUAUAUAUUUGCACAAGAAAUAGCUACUUCUUUAGAUACCUAGAAUAAAAAUGCAUGAAUUUAGUUAGUUUUAAACAAAAAGUAGAAUUUUUGCAAUUGUAUUUGUUUUUUUAUGUUAGAUUUUUAUUAGAUUGCUCCAUCAUUGUAAUAGGAUGAGUUUGAUUGGGAUGUAAAUGUAAUUAUAUAAUGGUUGGAAAUUGGAAUAAUAGUGGAGUAAGUGUGGUAAUGAUCCAAGUGUCUUUUGAUGGUU